AGACUGCUCUCUCUCUUCCGUUGCUGACCGAGUUCAUCUUCCGAUCUUCGUCUGAGUUCGCACCGUCUUCGACUCUUCGUCUUCAUCUUCACCGGAGAGAGUUCACAUCGCACCAGAGGCCGCCUCUGUCUCUCAGUUUCUCUCUCUCCUCCGCCAUAGCUGUGAGGCCGAGACACCAAAAUAGGAGCCCGUUGUUCUUCAGGGAAAACUGUGGAAGCCAAUUGAUGGAUGGCUGCAUUGCUGCUGGAUAGAAGACUGGAAAAAUGGCUGCUAAAUUGUUGUAUCUGAAUUAGGACUUUCUAUUUCAUUCGAUAUUUGUAUUUGAAUUUGGACACUUCGUAUUUGAAUUGUAGCUUCAAUUGUUCUUGAUGAGUAUUUGAAUUUGGAUAUUAUGUGUUCUGGAUAUUUGAAUUUGCAGCUUGAACUUUGGAUCGUGAUAUUGUGUUU